rnacentral:tRNA from 1 species
GAACGCGUGGCUGGAGGGCACCUACAGCGAGGUGUACCCGCACGUCUCGCAGGACGCCGAGGGCAUGCGGCGGCUGUUCCGCCAGUUCUCGUUUCCC